CCUACGGGGUGCAGCAGUGGGGAAUAUUGGACAAUGGGCGAAAGCCUGAUCCAGCCAUGCCGCGUGUGUGAAGAAGGCCUUCGGGUUGUAAAGCACUUUCAGUGGGGAAGAAAGCCUUGGGGCUAAUACCCUCGAGGAAGGACAUCACCCACAGAAGAAGCACCGGCUAACUCCGUGCCAGCAGCCGCGGUAAUACGGAGGGUGCGAGCGUUAAUCGGAAUUACUGGGCGUAAAGCGCGCGUAGGCGGUCUGAUAAGCCGGUUGUGAAAGCCCCGGGCUCAACCUGGGAACGGCAUCCGGAACUGUCAGGCUAGAGUGCAGGAGAGGAAGGUAGAAUUCCCGGUGUAGCGGUGAAAUGCGUAGAGAUCGGGAGGAAUACCAGUGGCGAAGGCGGCCUUCUGGACUGACACUGACGCUGAGGUGCGAAAGCGUGGGUAGCAAACAGGAUUAGAUACCCCGGUAGC
rnacentral:rRNA from 1 species